AUUCGGUCCUUUUUGGGACCUCGUUUCAAUCUAACGGAAGUUCCUAGAUGGACUGAGAAU
rnacentral:pre_miRNA from 2 species